UUUUUCUUUUUCCUAAUGCAACGAAACUUCCUGCUAGCCUUAGGCACACUAAGAUAAGAUCAAGCAAAUCUCCAAACACUCGUUCUCUCGUCCCGGUCAUCACAAGAACACAAGAAACAAAAACACAAACAAAACACGACAAACACACAAUCAUGCAAGUUUUAUUCAAUUUUCCUACUCCUAAGCUACACUAUUCAUGACGAGACACCUAUGGUAUCACCAACUUGGUAAUGUUCAAGAUGCAUCCCACAAAGUAGAAGAGGGUCAAGAUGAGUAGAGGAGGUUACCUCGAUCUUGGAAGGAACGAACUUUUGUUACCAUAAAGGGGCCGGAGAUGAGGACUCUAUCGCCCUCUUUGAGUGCUUGUUUGGUGGGGAGGUGCAAAUCAUGGAGUUGCUUGAUCGCUUUCUUGCAACUCCCAUCCUUGACCUUGUGGACACUUUUUUGGUGAGAAGAAGGAUUCUUGGGCUCAAGGUCUGGUGGUUCUUCAUGCAUGUUCCUCGCCUUAGCAUGCACUCCCUUGAUCGAGAUAGCUUCGGUUUCCUUAUUAUACUAUUUCACACACUCGCUCAAGGAUGGAUCCAAGGCUUCAUGAUGAAGAGAUACAUUAAUAGCAUAAACUAAAGCCAUUUCAACGGGCUCGCCAAUAUCAUUAUCAUCUUGAGGAUCCGGGUGCUCCAUACCCCCGAUCAAUUGAAAUGUGGCUUCCUUUUGACCCACUCUCAAGGUAAGCUUACCCUCAAACACAUCUAUGAUUUCCUUCGACGUGUUGAGAAAUGGACGACCCAAAAUCAAUGAAACGUCGGUGUCUCCGGUGUCAAUCACAACAAAAUCCACCGGAAACAUGAACCUUCCAACAUGCAUAAUAACAUCUUCAACUACACCACUAAGCAAUUUUGUAGUUUUUUCCGCUAGUUGGAUGCACAUCUUAGUUGUUGUAAGUUGACCUAGGCCUAGUUUCUUGUACAAUGAAUAUGUCAUGACAUAUAUACUAGCACCUAGAUCUGCUAAACCUCUUUCAAUCACAACUUGACUAAUCAUGGAAGGGAGAAAGAAACUACCCAGAUCUUUGCGUUUGCAAGGGAGGUCCCUUGAGAGGAUUGUCGAGCAUUGCUCAUUGAGAUUGAUGUUGGAAGCUUCUAUGAGCCUUCGCUUGUUGGUGAAGAUCUCCCUUAGGAACUUGGCGUAUUGAGGCAUCCUUUCGAUUGCCUCGACGAAAAGAACGGUGAAGUUCAUAUUGCAAAGUCGAAGCACAAGUUGCUUUAAGCUCUUCUCGAGAAGAUCCUUAUCCAAUUGGUUGGGAUAAGGUGGCUUAGGGUUGUAUGGAGCCGACUGGGGCUAGGAGAUAGGAGAAGCCUCAGUUGAACUCUUCGUAGCCUUCUUGGAACCAACUUCAGUUGACACCUUUGGCUUUCCAUUACUCUUUGGAGCUUUCGGAACUAAUGCAUGCGGAACCGGUGCACUUUCUUCGACCAUCACUUCAUUCUCUUAAUCACUAGAUGCUUCAUUUUUCAUUAACAUCUUUCACAAGAAAUUCAUUAUCAUGCACAAGCUUGCUAGGUACAUCGAUAGGAGGAUCGAUUAAAUUUAGGAGUUGUGGACACAUAGUGUCUCAUGCUCCUAGUUGUGAUAGAUCCACAAGUUUCCUUGCUCUUUGGAUUGGUUAUGAUAUUUCUAGGUAGAGUGCACGGUUGCCGACUUGAAAGAGCGUGUGUGAGGUAUCCAACUUGAUUCUUAAGAUCCACCAUUUGAGCUUGAGUUGAGGCAUUGUGGGUGUCUUGAAAUGCUCUUUGCUCUUGAGUCACCUUGUUGUGCUCUUGGAAGAACUUAGCUUGAUUCUCAAUCAUUUGGUUUCCUCCAUUGAAGCUCCCUUGAACAUAAUCAACUUCUUUAAUGAAGUGCUCUUCCUCCGGUGCGAAAUCGGGAGCAAGGGAUUGGCAAGUAGAGGUGGCAUGCCCUUCGUUCCCAUAACAUUCACAAACAAAGAGUUGCACAACCAGUUGAUUCACCUUUGGUUCUUGUACCUCUUUCUUUUGAGGUGGAGUGGCGGUUGGUCUCACCACCGGUUGAGCCAAGGCAAGUGCUUUGAUUUGAGCCGCCAUGCCAUCCAUCCUUGAUAGCAUCAAGUGAACAAGAUGGUUGGGAUCUUCCUCCUUAUGUCCCGGCAUCUCCUUAAGGACCUUUGGAGCUUGAGUGCGAGUACAAACAUAAGGAUCUAUGCUCACCACCUUAGCUUCUAUAGGACCUUGUUGCCUAGACCAACUCUUCAUCUUCACCGCCAUUUCCCGGAAGACUUGAAGCCAUCAUUUGGCGAGGAGUGAUCUCAAGUCUCCUCCCGCCGCUUGAUUGGUCAUCUUGGUGUCCUCAUAAGUGAGUCCUCAUAAGUGAGUCCUCUAGCAAAGGUCUCCGCGAGUUUCCACUCAUUGAAGUUGAAGUUGUGAUGAGGGCAAGAGUAGAGAAGGGCUUGGGACCUCUCCCAAGCUUCAAAGAAUGGCUCUCCAUUAAUUUUCUCAAAGUUGGAGAUUCUACUUUGGAUCUCAUCCGUCUUGUAAGGCAGGAAGAAUUCCUCCAAGAAGGCCUUUGCUAGAUUGUCCCAAGCUUGGAAGGUAUUGUUUCGUUGGUUGUCGAGCCAUUGAUUUGCCUUCCAUUGGAGUGAGAAGGGAAGAGUCGGAGUUGAAUGGCUUCUUGCGACACAUGAUUGAACUUCAUUAGAUCCAUGAUCUCGAGAUAGCUACUUGGACAUUCGUGCUCGUGCCCAUGGUAUACGUUUUGUUGCACCAUUUGAAUGUAGUUGAACUUCAACUCGAAGUUCCGGUUAUCAAUAAGGGGUGGAGCACACUUGAAGAAGUACCUUCAAGAGUUGGCUUAGGUAAUCACCUAGAGUUCUUUGAGGUUCUUGAGCCAUCUCAAAGAUGUUAACAAAUUCAUCAGCCUCUCCUUUGCAAGAUGAAACAAUUGAUGAGUGAUCCAGGGUUGUUAAAGAAGUUGCGAUGUGAGGUGGUGGUGGUGCUUGAGGUGGAGAUGAGAUGAAUCUCUUUGGUAGACGCCUUGUACGCUUCAAUCUUCUCAUGCACUAAUAGUGCAUGAACGGAACCUACACAACAAAGCAAACAACCAAGGGAACACAACAAAGGAAUAAACACACAAGAAGGGGGUAGCAAUAAGUAAAAUGGAUUAGGUAGAAUGCCUAAAUCGGUGUCUAAUCUACUCUUUCAAGGGGGUGAUUACACUCCCCAACAAUGGCGCGAUUUUGAUCCUCUAAAAAAGAACCAAACAAACAUGAUCGGCUAAGAAAAGGGACUAAUCCCAAACCCAAGGUCUCAAGUGACAAUUUUCACGAGGAACAGACCACCAACCCUAUACUCAACUAUUAAAGACACGGUUUAAGCUCACAAAAGUUCAAAAUGCUAGUUCCUUAAAUUAUCCACUAAAGUACAUAUCAUUCACAAGAGUAAUUGGAACUAAAUUAAGCUAACGAACUAAGCAAACAAGAUACUAAAGAGGGUGAACACAAGGAGAGGAGGGUUGCUAGAUUUCGGGUGUUGUUUUUGCACUCAAAUCCGAUUCAAAAGAAAUAUUGGCCACACUGGAAAAAAGUUAUGGUUUGACCAUCCUCUAAACAUUCGUAGCAGUGUAAUUCAAGGUCUUAAAUUGGACUACCACUACCAAUUGGCAAGUGAGCAAGCCAAUUGGUAGUGAACACCAAGUGUUCAACAAAAUUCUUAGAUGCUAAAAGACUUACUGGCAUCACAAACACUUGACAAGGGUGCUAAGUCACUAUUUGACACCCCCUAACAUUCCAAUCGCCUAAAUUGUCACUACCUAAGUGAUUACCAAAAUGCACUCAAGGUGUUCGAUAAAAUGCCACUAAGAGAAUCCUCACACUAAAGGUUGAAUUGGGGUGUGUGCUUGGUCCACACACCCUUAAUCCAAUCUUGGACUACACACUUACUCAAGUCAAGCACAAUUAAGUAAUUGAAAGAGUGCAUUUGACCUAGAACAAGCCAUAGCACAUUCUAAGUUGCAAUAACCAUAGUCCAACCAUUCUCAAAUACCAUAAUCCAUAUCCAACAUGUAUCCAAACUCUCAUCAUGAGGGGAUCAUCCUAGUACAUAGCAAUACCCUAAUCUAACAACUAAAGAGUCUAGCCACUCAUCAUGACACUAAAACUAAAGAAAAGGGAUACAAUCACCAUCAAACAACUAGAAUGAAGAAGAUGAUGAGGGUAGGAUCCUUCCUCCAAGCUCUACUAUUACAAUUCCUUCAAUCCUUGGUCUUCUCUAGCUCCCAAGCUUCUUCAAGGUCUUCAAUUGACCUUUUAAGGCUUCAAAUUGGGGGAAAAUCGAGAGAGGAGUCAUAUCAUCAUACAUCUUAAUAUUAUCUCUAAUUGGGACCACCUCAAUAUUAUCUGCAACAAUCUCAUCCUCAGUGUCAACCUCUAUGGCAAGUAGCUGUUGUAACUCCGUUUCUGAAGAUGAUGCAACCACUCCACUAGAGGAGGCAUCACAAUGAACAGCAAACCUACAUGAACAAACUCUAUACGAUUGAGGUUACCAAACAAAUCACCCCACACUUAUCUUUUGCAUAAACCAAUAUGCAUUAAUCAAGCUGUAGAAAAAGAGAAGAGUGGGCUUAGAAGCAACUAUUGAACAUCUCAUCCAAAUAGGAAAUCUGUCAUAAUAAAGAAUACUCAACAUCAUUAAGGCAAUCCACGUAAGGUUUAGGGCACUUAGAAACUAUCCACAAAGUCACACAAACAAUGUAAGACAUGUAAAAUUUCAUAAAUUCUUAACCCAGAAAAAUACCGAGCAAAACUCAACAUUCCUAUGACACCUAAUCAUAUAAUUUCAAAGUGCAAAGGAUGUCAUUAACAUCCUAUAUCAUACCCAAUUGAAUUCUAGCAUCAUCAAUUUCACAAAACCUCAUAUUUGAAAUUUCAAGUUCUUCAAGCUAAUCAUCAAUCUCAACAAUUUAACCAAUCAGGGCAAAGUGAACAAGGAGAAACUGGGCAAAAUUCAAUGUAAACUAGCUCAAAACUCACUCAAAGUUGAUGAAAAACGAAGGGGGGAGAUUGGGGGAGGGUUCGGCGGUGACCGACAACGGUUCUAUGGUGACAGGAGUGCGGAGUUUUGAAUGACGGCAAAGGGGUAGGAGGGUGGAGUCGGCGUCAGUGGAAUGUUUGAAAAAAAUAUGGUUCAAAAAUCGGCUAAGGCUAGAAUAUUUAGAAACCCGUGUCAACUAUUGCAUUGUAGAAGUGUCAAAAAUGCGGUAUGGACAUAGCGCAAUGUUUGACAAAUCAUAGCGCAAUGAUUGAAAGGAUUUCCAGAACUCAAUGUCAACAUUUUUUCUAUAGAUGGUCAAUUAUUGCGCUAUGGGCAUAGCACAAUGCUUGACACAGAUCCAUAGCACAAAGGUUGACAUCCUAUUAUGUGAACUUCCAUAGUUCAUGAAAGAAUCAACACUCUUUGCAUUGACGACUGGGGACAAGAAUGACACUCAAGUAUCACGUUCUAGACUCGAUCUAACUCCUACACAUGCAAAUUGACUCAAAGAAUAUGAAAAAUACUGACUCCAGACAUGGGCUUCCUUCCAUGAAGCGCUCUUUCUUUAACGUCUUUGAGCUAGAUGAUACAAGGACCUCAAUUUAGCAUCUUCAAAGUAAUGAACUUUUACUCCAUCGGUAGGCUUGGUACUGAGAUAUAGCUUGAGACGUUGACCGCUGAAUUUAAUGUUCCUUGGUCCGGAUGUGUGAUCUCCACAAAUCGGUAGGGAAAUGAUUGUGUGACUUCAUAAGGUCCCGACCAUCUUGAUUGUAAUUUUCCCAAAAAUAGUCAGAGCUGGGAGUUGUAGAGCAGCACCUUAUCUCCCUACUUGAAUUCUUUGACCCCUUGAAUAUUAGCAUCGUCGAUUCGUUUCAUCCUUUCCUUAUAUAUACAUGAGCUCUCGUAAGUAUGAAACAUGUGCUCCUCUAGCUCAAGGAGCUAAUAUUUGCAUUCUGAAGCUACGAGACUAUCAUCCAUGUUUAGCAGCUUCAUGGCCCACCAUGCAUUAUGCUCAAGCUCGACCGGUAAAUGAUAAGCCUUUCCAUAAACGAAUCGAUACGGGAAAGUGUAGAUAGGGAUCUUGAAGGCGGUUCGGUAAGCCCAUAGAGCUUCAUCGAGCCAAAUCGACCUGUCCUUAUGAGACUGAUCGACUGUGCUAUCAAGAAUCUGCUUAAGCUCACGAUUCUUCACCUCCACUUGACCGCUUGCAUGUGGAUGGUAAGCGGUCAUCAAUCAAGGAGCUAUGCUAAAUGUUUGGCAAACUCAAUAGAAUUGACCCUGAAAGUGAGUGACUUUAUCGCUAAUGAUAGCAUGAAGGCCGCUGAAACGCAUGAAAACGCAUGUAAUAAACUUUCCCACUGUCAGAACAUAGUUAGUAGACAGCGGUUGCGCCUCUGCCCACUUUGAGACAUAAUCCACUUUGAAAUGUUACAUGUACGUUGGCAGUUGAUUUUGGGCUUUAAUCUGAAUUCUGUGAAUUUUGGAAAUUGGCUGAUCAAUGGACAGUCACAGGCAUGACAGUCAGUCUAUCACGGGAAAGGUUGUCAGACAGACCACGACCGUUGUCAGCAAACAUUCAUGGGCGUGACCACUGGAAGAUCAAGGGCUUGACCAUCAGGAGGUCAUGGUUGUGACCAUCAGUAGGUCACGGGCAUGGUUUCUAUGUGGCCACGGGUAUGGUGGUAAGUUGGACAUGGGCGUGGUGGACUUAUUAUAUAAGGACAGUUGCAACUUACAACUCAGAAUUACUGAAACCUAAGAACUUUGAAUCCCUCUGCAAAUGGCAAUCAAUUUCAGGAGAUGGAGAAAUCCCAUUUGAUCUAAUCCCAAAUCAUUAGGAAAGGUCUAGAAAUCGUUGAGGAUGCUUCCAAAGCUACUCAAUCUUCUUCCUCCUUUCUCAAUCCUUGAUUGGAAAUCCUACGUAGGAAAUUCCUGACACAUUAGGAUUUGGGGUUUUCAGAUUUCAAUCCUAUGAAUUAAUCUCUACGGGUCAGACAGAACAUGAGGCUUGAUCUUGGGAAGGUAGCUUCAUAUUAGACUCUACUAGGAAAGCUAAUCAGAGGUGGGGGGUUAGGAUUUCUUUUCUGCUUUAAGUGUAGAACUGUAAUUAGGAUUGUCAGGAAUCCGAUUAUUAGAUUCUCAGACUGUGUAGUAGCAUAUGAUUUAUUGUACAUGUGUUGUGAUUUGAAGGGCUCUCAAGACUGUGCAAUAGCGUGUGAUCUACUGUACAUGUAUUACGAUUUUUAGAGCCAAGCUCUUAGUAUUGUGCAGUAACGUGUGAUCUACUGUACAUGGGUUGUGAAACAGAGCCAGGCUCUCAGACUAUGUAGUAGCGUGUAAUCUACUGUACAUGCAGUUGUUUAAUUUCGAGCAUAAGCUCAUGGUGAUUAAACUAUGCUUGUGAUUCACAGUUCAUGUUAGGACAGGAUCAUGUUUAGCUAGAUUAGCUCUCGAUAUGCAUUGGUCACCCGCCCAUGGAUUGCGCAAUCCCUUAGGUCAUGUUCAGGCUCAUGUUGGACGUGUCGAGUAUGCCUAUAGAUGCUGCUCACACGGUUUUCAGGAUGGUUUCAUAGUUUGAUCCACCAUGAGGCUAUCUACCAUAGCUAGGGGUGGUUGUUGUCAAGAUGAUGCCUACAACCUGUGAGUAAUGCAUGGGUCGAACCAUGUAGUUCGAUUGGGUCUUCUAGGGGCGUGUUUCACGGUAAUCUUCUAUAUAUGUCCCGAAAGCAAGGAUGGUGGCUAUCUCGGUAAACCACUAGCGCUUGUAGAGGUGAUGAUCCGAGACUUCCUUUGCUUCUUCCAAGAGAAAUAAUUGAUCAUCCAGAAAGAGCUCAUUUAUCUCUGCUUCAGCGAAUCGACCCAGAGAAGGCCCUUCAAGGUGCGAUAGGUGGUUAGCUGCAACGUUCUCUGAUCUCGCCUUGCCCUUAAUAGUCAUGUCAAACUCUUGAAGGAGUAGCACCUAGUGAAUCAAUCUCAAGUUCCCAUCCUGUUUAGCUAUAAGAUACUUAAGAGCAAAAUGGUCGCCGGAAUCUGGGCAGAGGUCGCCAGCGGUAACGGCCUCACUAGAGAAGAAGGGUGACCUCCCCACAAUCAUGAGGAGUUCAGUGACCAGAUCUGCAAAGUCUGAAAGAUAAGUUGCUGUUGUGCAUUUGAAUAUUCUAAAGUCUAGCUUCCGUAGCUCUGAAGUUUUGGAUGGUUUACAGUUAUGGACCUUGGUCAGAUUUUUUAUCAUUUGGAAGUUCUAGAUCAGUUAGUGUAAUGGAGGUCAUUAGAGGACUAGAGUAACAUUUAUGUCCUUAAAAUUUUCAGAUUAUUGCAAAUAAGUAAAUGGAGAAGAACUCGGUCGUUUGAGCUCCAAAUGACGCACGGUUAGAACUUACGGAUUUAUGGCAACGAGAGAAAUCAUGCCAAGUUAGGAUCAAAGGUGUCAGAUCUUCUUAACAGGUGGGGGUUUAGGAUUACAUUCUGCUUAUAAGCUUAGAACUAUAAUAGGAUGUUAGGGAAUCCGAUUAUUGGAUUCUUCAUGUGAUUCAGAGCAAGGGCUCUCAGGAUUGUACAAUAGCGUGUGAUCUACUGUAUAAAUGUUGUGAUGUGAUUCGGAGCAAGUGCUCUCGGACUAUAUAGUAGCGCAUAAUCUACUCUAUAGAUGUUGUGAUGUGCUUUGGAGUGUGGGCUCUUAGGCUGUACAAUAGCGUGUGAUCUACAGUAGAGGCAAUUAUUAUAAUUCGAGCAUAAGCUCUUGGCGUUUGGACUGUGGCAUGUGAUUCACAGUUCAUGUUAGGAUAGGAUAGGCCUAGAUAGACUAGGUCACAAUUAUGAUACGUCGGGCACCCACCCAUGGAUUGCACAAUCCCCCAUGUUAUAAUCGGGCUCAGGCAGGACGUGUUGAGUAUGCAUACUGAUGCUGCUCAUACGGUAUUCAGAGUGGUUUUAUGGUCUGAUCUACCGUGAGGUCAUCCACAUAGCUAGGGGUGGCUGAUGUUAUGUUGAUGCCUACUGGACCAGAUGGUCACAUUACUAGAGUAGUGACUACAUAGAAUUCCAUGUUCUAUUCUUAGUACAGGUCAGUUUCAAUCUCAGUUCUACGCGAGUCCAGAUAGCCACUUAGUGUUUAUCACUAACUCUAUUAGAUAUUAUUUUCUCUGGUGUAUAUGUGUGUUCGGUCACAAGAACUGGAGCUGAUGGUGGGGAGAGAGCUAGUCGGAGUUUUGAUAUCACAUGAUAUAUGUUUUGAUGUAUUUUCAGUACUAGAGUUGCAUCUCCUUUUAUCAUGUUGUGAUUUGGGAUCCGAGAUCCUUGUUGGUCAAUUUUAUCAAAGUAUUUCGGUUCAACUUUUAAUGCUUGUUUUUGCUCAUUUAUUAGUAGUAGAGAGUAGAGGUUGGUUCAGCUUGGAACCCGAUAAGAUUUCUUGAUUGAACCAGUGGUUCGACCAAAACUCUUAGGGUGGGGUUUCAGAGAAAAUGUGAUAGUGAAAUAUACAUUUCCCAAAAAAAUUCAUCUUCCCACCGAUAAGUUUUGGCUAUUUUCGUAUUUUCAUAAUUACCUUUAUUUUAGAUUGUAUGAUUCAAUUCAUUACCAAUUGUCAGAUUAUGUUGUGACAUCAUCAUUUCUAUCAAACGAACAACAUUGGCUCCAUUUAUAGGAUUUUAUCUAUUGCAUAUAAGACUAUUGGAUCCAUUUUGAUUUGUAAAAGUGGGUCCUACUUCCAUCUCAUUUUGUUUUGAAAUUUUGCAUACUUCACUUUGAAAGGCUUCUCAUUAAUGCAAUUCAAAAACAUUUGCAAAAGUGGACUUACAUGAAUAAAAUGAUCAUUUCUUAUAUAUUAUUUUAUUAGCAAAUAAUGAUAUGAGAAGGCCCAAUCCAUUGGGUCUUGAUCAGAAUGGCACAACCUAUUAAAAAUACCUAUUUUGGCAUAACAUAAUUAUAAUUUUACAAAAUAAAAUAUUUAAUUGACUUUUUAAAACUCAAUACAAAAAACUAAAAAAAUAUCAAAGUUCAUCAUAUUCUUCUCCCACCACCAUCCUAUCUCCACUAUCUUCUUAUCAUCCCCAUCAUCCAUUGCUAAACCCAACAAUUACUUUCUCUAAAUCUAUCACUUACCAAAUCCAAAAUCAUAUUCAUUUGUACACACAACCAAGUAUGCAAAUUUUAGAUAUGAUUUGUGUUGGUUUUUUAGAUCUGAUUUUGUCGAUCUCGAAGGUGAAGAUGAUUGACGACGGGGAAGGGGACUCUAAUACCCAAAUAUGCUACUGGAGAAUAAUCCAUCUUUCCAGACUAUUGCAAUUCAUACCGCUCCUUGAAUACUUACAGAGAAAGACGGCGCAUCGAGCUCAAAAGGAGAGGGUAGCGAGCAAUCGAAGGAGAGUAGAAAAAGCCGUUGCAAGCAAAAGAGAAAUCGACCACCAGAUCUCCUAGGAUUCCUCAUCUGAGGAAGCCAUCAAGAGAUUUUUUCCUAUAAGUCAGUUCAGCUACUAAAGCUACAAGUGGUGAUGAUGAAUAAGCUUCCAUAAGUGGUUCGCUGGGUAUCUCUACUUUGACCUCCUUCAUGGGAGCUCCGUCGUCGCCGCUGGCGACCCUAAAAAAGAACAUGCAUUUAAACGCGUUUACACACUAAACUAAAAAGGAGAAUGAAAGACUAUAAUUGGAAUUUCAACAACAAGAGAAAGUUAACUUCUUUUUUCUAAUCCACCGUCGGGAGGAGCAGCAGCAAGCUUCGCCCGUCUUCUUCCCUUUUGGGAUUUUUUUGAAUUAAUUAAGAAUUUUAUUAAUUAGAAGUUUAAAAUUAUAUGAUGUGGAGCCUAUAUUGAAGUCAAGUGGGAGGUACGUCAGGGGUGUUAAGUUUGACUGUUAAGUUGAUGGUCAAAUUUCAAAUAUGUGCCACAAUAAGUAUUUCUAAUAGGUUAUGCCAUUCUGGGUUUAGACCCAAUAGGUUGGGCCUCCUUAGAUCAUUAUUCAUUUUAUUAACUACAUAUAUGUUAUAAAAAUGUAUAAGUGACAAGUGGGUCUCAAAUGAUUAAAAAAUAUAAAUGAAAAAAUGGGCCACAAGUGAGAUUAUCACUUUGACUUGGAACGAGUACAAAUUUGCACUUAAAAUGAUCCUUUCCCAUCAAUAAUAUUCUCAUUUAAAUUUAAAAAUUGCCACAUAGGCUCCAUGUUACUUAACAAGUAGGGAAAAUCUCAGUGAUAAGAUGCUAUAAUAACAAAUAAUCUUGAGGCCAAAUCCAAUAACUGAGCAUGCCUUCUACAUGUCGGACUCCACCAUAUAAACACGGCCCACGUUAUAAUUGAUUCAUUAAAAAAAAGAAACAAUUUGAUGAAUUGAUGAAAGAAGCGAAAGGCAAAAGAUGGAAAUUGUCGUUUCUCUUCCUAAAACUAGGGUUUUGUUUCUCUCACUAAAAUUAGGGUAUCUCUUCGUCAUGAAGACUUCCUACACCCCCAUCGCCAUCAUGCUCAAGCACAAACCUACUCCUAUCAUCAACAAACCCAUCCCACCUACCGAUGUUGUCAUCAAAACAAGACCGACCCUUACUGCACCCAUGGCCUCCCUAUCGUUGAAGGAGAGUCAUGGCUCGGAGGACCUGACCGGAAUGACAUGGCUGACGAUUGGAUACCAGAGCUGCAGCAAUCUGGAAAGCCCCACAAAGAUUCUCCGCCGACAAAGACCAGCAGGUCAACACUAAGGAGAGGCGGUGUUCCUCCGAUCUUCGAGCUACAGGGGAGCGAGACGACUCUACCCCAUACACCAUAGUGACAUCGCCGGUGUGGACAUCCGAUCAUUCCAUUCAAAGCUCAUGAAGAUCGGCUACACUUGUGUUUGGCUUUCUUUAUUUUUGUUUAGUACUCUCUUUUUAGACAUUUGGUUGAUUUUCAGUCGUACGUUGCACUUCAUUUGUUUCCUUCCUUGAGUCGGGGUAUAGUUUUGUUAAUUUUUUUGUUUAUUUCGUUGCAUCUAAAACCGUUGAUGGUCGAAGAGAUUAAAACUGUAAAUAAAAUAUUCAAUUACCUACUUUCCCCUUACAUCUUUUCUAAAAAACAACUCUCAAUUGCAUUUCUCAUGGUCAAUGUUAUAUCACGCCUCCCUCUAUAAAGAAAUUAUAUUUUGUAAAAAAAAAAAGCGAAAGGCAAAAGAUAUCGCGAGACCUAGUUCUAUAUAAACCCAUUCCAUUCGCAGGUUACGAGCGGCCGUCAUCGCUGUCACAGGGCCAGAUAUGGGAAGCGCUAAAGCUGGCAAACCCUCAAAGAAGUCUCUCAGAAACCCUAAUCCGCUUCGCAUUACCCAUAGGAAGAUUACGAAGCACAAACGGCAAGACAUUGCUGUUGAUACAGUUCCCACCGCCCUGAAGUAGAAACACAACCUCAUAUCGGAGAAGAGGAGCCCCUUCCUUCAGCUUCCCAGCAACUCAGCUUUUUCCUCAGCAAGUUCCAGUCAGCUAAUGGUCUUCAAGGUUAGUCUCUACCGCUGGAGCUCCACAAUAUUGUAUCCCAUGACAUCUCUAUUUGGUUGCUGGACAGAGGGAUUAUUAACAAUUUGUGUAUUGUAUUUGCAGAAACAUCCUUUAUUCAGUUAUUUUGAGAGCUGCCUCAGGAUGUUGAGGGCCUAGGCCAGCAUUUGAAGACUGCUUUCGGAAAGUCAUGGAAAGAAGAACGCUGUGAUCGAAAGCUCGUGGAUAGGUAAACUGAACCAGAGAGUCCUGCUGCUCUUUUCAUUUCUACAUCUGCAUUGAGAGCAAUAGAACUUUUAAGGUAUAGAUUCUCUCAGUUCUUGUUAAUGAUCUUUGUUUUGCUCGAUUUAAUCAGGGUUUGGGCUUGAUUCAAUCUUCUUCUUUUAGGGGUGUGCGUUCACUGAGCGUUCACUGACGAAAGAAUGCCAUGCUGCAAAGCUCUUCUCUAAGCACAUGAAGGUUGAAGAACAUGUGAUAUCCUUUCCCUUUUGUCACUUGUUGUUCCUAUUACAUCGUUAAACAAAAUACUAUCUCUUUAUGUUUCGAGGUGUUGUCAUUUGUUUUGGAUAUCAUUCAGUUCCUUUUAUUAUUACUGCUGCUCGAGUUACGAACAUCUGAGGAAAUAGCAAUGCUUAGGAUGUUAUUGUCCACUUCACUGUCUCGAGACACCGACAUUGUCUUUAGUUAUUAUUUAUGGGUCCAACAAGUUAUGACUUGAACCAUGGUCACAUGGAACAAAAUUAAUUUAUAAAUUCGGACUUCUGUUUCAUCAGUGACAUUUUCACUCUUCGUCAUCAUAUACAUUUGGUGUUUGUUUGUUUUUGGUAAAAGGAUUUGAUAUUACCAGUUAUAAAGAUCAAAGGGCAGUAGCAGUGCAGGAUAAGCUUUUUUCACAUCAGUCUGCUUCUAGUUCAGUAUCUUAGUUUCAAUGAUUUAUGGCUGGAAGCAUGGAGCAGUAUGGAAUUUUUGCAAACAAUUGUUGGAUUAGGAAUUUCAUACUUCUUUUCACUGCAUUUUGAUGUUGGGAUAUGAUGAGUUACACGGAUCAAAUGCUCUAGCAGUGCUGAAUAUGUUUUUUGCACGUCAGUCUGAUCCCAACUUACCGUAUUUUUACUGCCCCUACCUUUAAAUGCAUGUCCGAGUUCUAACAAUAGAUGACUUGAGACAUGGAGCCUAUGAAUGGGGGUUCUCUGUUUGAUUUUAUGACAUUUUACAAUAAUUGUCACAAAUUUUUUUGACAUUGGAUAUGAUGAUGAGUUAGAAUCAAAGGCACUAGAGAUGCUGAAUAUGAUUUUUUGCACGUCAGUCUGAUCCCAGCCUUUCGAUUUCUGAUUACUGGAAUUUAAAAUUUUACUUUGUUUUCGUCAUUUUGACAUUGGGAUAUGAUGAUGAGAUGUAGAUCAAAGGCAUUAGCGGUGCUGAAUGUUUAUUUUGCACGUCAGUCUGAUCCCAGCUCACUGUUCCGAGAUUGUGCUGCCUUCUUGCAUUUCCUAGUUAAAAAAAUGUACUCCUUGGACAUGGAUCUAAACGAACUUCAAAAUAUGAAUGAUUAAGAUUUCGUGAUCAGUGUCAUUCAUAGUUUAUGAUCACUAAUUUAAAUCUCGUGGCAUAUCUUGCAGGGUGUUUAUAGCCAAUUAGAUGCCACACUCACUGAAAGCUUAACUUACGAUUUAGGUUCUGGUUGUGUAUCCCCCCCCCUGUCCACCGCCUUUAACCUUGUACUUCUAAGCAAUUGAUUGUAUUUCCUGAAUAAUGGCUACAUAUUUCGUAAUUGUUCAUGCUCUGCUGAUUAUAUUUUUGCACGUCUCUGUUCCUAAUAAAACUGCACACUAUUUUACGAAAAAAGACGUGCACGCUAAUAUCGUACACCAAUGUAAUAUAACACUAUUAACAACAAAAAGUUCUUAGUACGGGUUCAAUGUCAUCAUGCAACAUCCAUGAUGCCGUUCCUUAGUCUCUCUACGUGACUCUGUGUUGCAUUUGGUAAACUAUUUCUUAAACUUCUGGCUCCGUUUACUGCAGGUCACUUUCUUCAAGAAUCGUGUCAAUAUUGCCAGCGGCACACCAAACAGGUUAGUCACCAGUCAUUUCAUCUCGAUAUUGAUGUUACAAUGGGUCGUUUGGAUGAGGUAUUUGAAAGUGGUAUUUUGGCUCAAGUAACUCAAACUAAAGUUAUAACUGAGUUAUUUGGGCCAAAACACUUCGUUUUCCAUCCGAAAUAAAAGUCGUUAUAUUUCAUAACUGUGAUAUUUGAAAUAAUUAUGGAUGUGAUAUUUGAAAUAACUCAAUUUAAAACCAUAACUCAAAAUGAUAGCUAAACGAAUAAUUCUUAUCCCCCAAAUUCUUACAACUGAUCCAAACGAUUAAUGUUUACUUGCUCAUCCUUUUCGUUCUAGCUGAAUAUUUGCAUUUCCGAAAUAAUGCGCCCCACAUGAGUUCGGUAUACAUUGGUGAUUGCUUUUGCAAGUUUUCCGUGCAUGAAUUGUUGUGGUAUUCAUCAGAAAAUUACCAAUAGGAAAUAGUUAAGAGGUCGUAGAAAAUGCAUCGGGAGUGUCAUUUUAUAUUGUAGGGGCAAAAAUUGAUUUUGAUGAAUUUGAACUUUCUUGACUAGAUUCUUGAUAAAAAAAACUAUCUUGACUAGGUUGAAGAAGUUGAUAGAUAUAAAAGCAAUGGGGCUCUCGCGGUUUUAAAGUUAUCGUGCUAGAUGUCCACCAUGAUGUAAAGGGUUAUUCCUUGCUCACACUUCCACAAGGGGGAGAUAUAGAGAGAAUGUCCGGUCUCUUUUCAACACAGCGAGGAGCAUAGUCGAUUUUGUCAUGUGAAGAGUUGCUGUUGUACAAGUGUUAGUUUGUUAUUUUGACAGGACACUUUUUCAAUUAUUCAAAACUUAUAUUCUAGCUAAGCUAAGGGUAAAUAUCCAUUUUGUAAUUUCACUUGUUGCUGCUUCUACCAAGAGACAGCACACAAGGAAUUAUACUCAUCGGCUUCCUGGCCGCAAUUGAGUUAAAUCUUCUUUUCGGCCCCUAGCGUUUAAAAUAAAAUAAAUCUUUCACCGGCUACCUUCAAAAUCCUCUGUUUAUCUUUCCUUUGAUCUUAUCAAAUUUUUAUAGUGACAAAGUUUGUGAAAUUACUUAAUAAAAAAAAGAAAAAAUUAUUAAACAAUUGCUAAUAUUUAGGCCCGACAUUCGAUAUAGCACAUGUUUUUUAUAAUAUUUUUUUUUGCCCAAAUUUCAAAUUAUGUUAAUUCCUUUAAGUUAAAAUUAACGGAUUGGUGACAAAUGCUGACAAGGCAAACAAUGUGUCUGAUGUGGAUGGAUGAAAAGAAGUCAAUCGGAAAUAAAUACACAGUCAACAUACAGUUAAAAAAUUUUAUAACAAAAACCACCCACAUUCCUUAUCCUCUUCGUCGACCAGCCUUUUAUCACCCACCUGUCACCUCCCUUCUAAAUUAAUUUUCAUCAGAUGGGGAGAAAGAGUGGAAGAAGAAGAAGAAGAAAGAAAGAUGGAGCAAGGUGCAUUUGAUUUGAAUCCCGACAAUGUCGACAACAAUCUUGUAUCUAAAUUCUUUGUCGAUUUGAAUUUCGAUGAUGCCAACAACAACCUCAUUCUUGAACUCUCCGUCGAUUUGAAUCCCGACGAUCCCAUCAACAACACCAUUCCUGAACUCUUCGACAAUUUGAAUCCCGACGAUGCUGAUAACAACCUCAUACCUGAAUUCUCCGUUGAUUGAAUCUCAAUGAUGCCAACAACGACUCUCUAUCGUUGUCGAUGAAAUGCCCAAGCUUGUGGAGAGAUGGAUACAGGGAGUAGUAGCAGGUACAUGUCCAAAUAUGGAUGUUGAGAAAUCCUCCUCGGCUGUCGAUUUCGAAUGGUCCCCACGUUUCAAAUUGAUUUUAGUGUUCUUGCUGGGAGUAGGUUUGCACGCGGCUGAGAUUGGGUUUAUCUGUUUGUUGCAAAUGAAUGAAUUGAAUUGGUUGGUUUUUUAUUGGGGGUGGGUUUUGCAAGCAAGUUGAGUUGUUUGAUUGGUUUGAAGUUUUUUUUGUCUUGAUUGGGUUUUGUAAAAAAUGCUAGCAGAAUACUGACAAUGGAGGAGAAGGUGGAGGAAGGAAAAAGAAGGUGGAGGAGAUGAAUGAUUUUUUUGGUAGCUGAGUUAUUAUUAUUUAAUGAAAGGAGGUAAAUAAAAUUUACCUAACUAAGCUGACGUGACCAGUGAUUGUUAUGUGGCGUCGGACAUGGUAUCUUGAUGAUUUUCUUCUUACGGCGUUUCGUGUUUGGUUAACUAUAACGGUCAACGACAAAGUCAACUGAUUUUCGUUAGUGUGAUUUGAAUUUUGUCAGAAAAAAAUGUAUUUCGGAAAACAUGUGCCAGAUCAUUUGUCGGGUUAAAACAUUGCCAAUUGUGUUAGCUAAUUUUUCCUAAAAUAAGUUAGUGACAUUUUAUCAAGUCGAUCUACACUACAGGAAACUAGAUGUUUAACAACAUCAUUUUUUCUUGUUGACGACAACCAUUUCCUGUUGUUAUGUAUCAUAACGGCGGCUUUGAUUGCGCUAUUAAGAUUGCCAAUGCAAAGAGAUCCUACCAGCGAAAUAUUGGCCGCGGUUAAGUGGGGAAGCGUAACAGCGAAUAGCUGGCCGCUGUUAGGUUGCAUCCUAAUAGCGAAAUAUGACCGAUGUUAGACGAAAUUCUAAUAGUGGCAUUGUGUCCGUUGUAAGGAUUUCGCCUAACAGCAACUACAUAUCCUCAUAGUUUUCUUAUUAUUUUAUUUUUUUCGUUUGGCUAUUUUCCAUAUAUAUCCAACUUGUUCAAGUAAUUUUUUCGAUAGGUAGAUAGAAAUACAAAUUUGGGAAACACUUUGCUAAAUAUAAAACUAGUCAUUUUGAUUAAAUAUUUGAUUGUUAGGACACAUACUAAUUCCUUGGCUUAAACUACACCAUCCUUCUAAAGUAACUACUUGAUUCAUAGUUGUUCAUCCAACAUGUACAAUCCACUAAACAUAGACUACUCCUCUUGGUCGUAAUCAAGCUCAUCGUCCCUCUCAUUUGUUUCCAUCAUAGUGCUCGUUCACAUUUGUUUGCAUCAAAUGGCUGCCAUCAUACAUUUGGAUUUAGAACAUCUGCCUCAUCUCCUCCAAAUCAUGAGAUAAGCCAACUUGAGAGUUGGCAAGAUGAGCUAUACACCUACAAUACACCAAAUAAAAGUUAGUUUUUUUAUCCAAAAAAAUUUGCAUGACCAAUUCGAAUUCACGGUUUAACUUAUACUCUUUGAUCUACAAAAUGAACAAACGAUACUAGAUUUGGAAGGACAAGUUUCGACAGCUACAAUGAAUCAAGGAAACCUUUUACAUCUACAUUAUCAAAACAUAAUUGCAGAAUUAAAAGUAUAAACCAUGAGUAAGGUUGAAUGAUAAAAUUUUCACUAUUUAGAGGUGUCGGUUAAAAUGUGCAAAUUGGAUAAUAAAUUUGCAUGGGAAGGAUGAUUAUGUAGAUUACGUAAUAAACUAACAAAUACAUAUAUACUUAUGAUUUGAAUGGGACUUGUAAGUUAAAAUUGGAGGCGCCCCUCUUAAUUUGUACCUAUUGUAUGUUCACUAACCACCCAUAAUAAAAACAAGCAAGAAAAAUUGGAUUUGGUGGAUCACUCGAUGAAGAAACAAGAUUCGAAACUAGCCCUCAUAACUUGAUUAGGUGAAGUUUCUACCUAUAACAGUCCAACUUAGUGGUAGAAUUAAUUUAGGAUUAAUGCUGAAAAAUACAAAUACUUAUUCAUUUUGCUUUCACUCUAAAUCCUAAAUGGCGCACCACUGUUCCUGACUUCUCUUUUUUGUUCUUCGAACGUAUACGAUAUGCCCUCGCCAUAGCAUCCUCCUUGCUAACCCCAUGUUAGUAUUUGGUUCCUUCAUAAACUGUUUGACUUCAACCUAUAUUCAAUCUCAAAAUCUUAAAUAUAUUAGAAUUGCAUCUUAUCAACAAAAGGUCAAAACACAAUAAAAUUAUAUGCAACUUACAUAAAAGUCUCAAGUAACAUAUGUUUCAUCUUCUCUUUCAUAACACUUGAAAAAGAACUCAGAUCUUCUUACUUCUUUUCCUUUCGCUUUCUUCUACAUUAUACGUUCUACAAUCAAUACAAAUUAACUUCUCAUGACUUUUGGAACAUAAUAUAAAGACGAUUGAUGAGAUGCUUACUUACCAUCUCUUCACGAAUUAUAUUGAAAGGUUUUGACCCUUUCGUAUGAUAGAUGUCUUGAUUAGAACGAUACCUUGUUUCUUUGCAGAUGCAGUCUAUAAAACUGCUAGUAAUUGACAAAUGACAAUAAUAAAUAUCAUUAUAUCAAAUAUAAGUACAAAUGUAAAACUUACUAGAGUUGGCUUCCCCUCCUAUAUCUGCAAAACAUAUCCCACUCACGUUCAUCAAUAUUUGGUGGUUUCCUGUCUAAGUUGAGCUGAAGACCUUGAGUAGCAUCGAUAUUUGGUGGUUUCCUAUCACGUUCAUCGAUACUAAUCAAUUUUCUUUGGAUAUGACUAAUGUAAUGAAGAAGAUAGAAGAGAUUAAAUCUAAAACCCUUAUGAUUACCCUGCAUUCAUAAAGACUGCAAUGCAAUAUGUACAGAGAGGCGUGGACACAUAGCAAAGUCCUUACAAUUUUGACAAUUACCAUCCAAUACAAUUUUGUAAGCUACAGCUAACAUUCAUGAGCUAAUAAGUUUUGUCAGGUCGGUUACGAAAGAAAACACACUUAACUUCAUAAACAAUAAUAAAUUAUGAAAACCCCCAAAUCAAAGUUAGGGCUCAUCUAAAUCAUUAACAAAUCAUACAAACUGAUUUCAAUCUCAAAAUUAAACUUAGACCCAGCACUAUAAAUAAGAUGUCUAACCUAAAGCUAGAACAAAACACUUCCAAUUCACUAAACGGAAAACAUUUCAAAGAUCUAGAUUUUACUAACCUUUCAAUUUUCUUGCUAACACAAGAUGACUGAUUGAGAUGAUGGACAGGAACCAAAAUGAGCCGCAGCUGGAAGGCCGGAGCAAGCGACGCCGGCACGAAGAAGAAAAACGCCAGCGAACGGCCGUUGGUGAAGAUACUAUCUGGCUGUGUCCUUUGUUCAAUUUGGGGAAAGUUGGGUUUUUACGUGGUGUUGGGGGGUUAUAUGUAUUUGGAGUUUCGUUUAUAUUAAUAUAAUGAAGAAUUAAGUCUCAUUUUGUUUGGGGCUUUAAAUUAAUAACCCAACGUCGGCUUGAUUCUCUACAUAGCCGCUGAUAGGAUUACUCUUAGCAGCUGCCAUCUAAAUAAGAGCCACUGUUAAGUUGUUGUAUUCCAUCAUAUUUUUUAAUUAUUAUCCUAACAUCGGCCAAUAUUAAUCAGGGCCGAUGUUAGGUAGUAAUAACGUAUCAGUAGCCUUCCAUUUAUUGUUAGGAUAUUGACCUAACAUUGAGACCAUGUCCGUUGUUAAAUUUUGUAUGUUAAAAUAUCCUAACUGCAGGUCUAUGUGGCUACAGUUAAAUUGGCAAUAUUAGGUAGUCAGUUUCUUGUAAUGCUACCUUGUUUAUCAUAGAAAAUUUGUUAUGACAAACGUGAUUGUUGUUGUUACAUAACAACACUCUAAUUUUCCAUCUAUUUUUAAUUUUAAAAAUUUGACAGUCUUAAUUUGUUGAAUAUUUUUAAUCUUUUUUACAUUUUUAUCUCUCAUAAAUAUGUCCUAAUUUUUAGUUAAAGAAUCCUCAUUCAAUUUCUAUUUCUAUUUCUAUUUUUUUACCUAUAUUUAAUUAAGUUAAUAACUUAAUAUUUCCUUAAUUGCUUUUUACAGGUUGUCAACGGAGUUCUGGUACUCCCAACAAGUGAGAAGAACGAUCAGAUUAGUAACAGAGCACAAACAAAGGUACAAAAUAAAUUACCAUAUCACAGUCUCAGGUAUAUAACUCCAUACAAUAGCACAUUCAUGGGUACAUAACUAGACAAAAAUUAAUCAAAAAUUGAUACUUCAAUACACGAGGUAUAAAAUGCAGUACCAUAUCACAAACCCCUUUUUUUUUUUUUUUUUUUUUUUUUUUUUUUUUUUUUUUUUUUUUUUUUUUUUUUUUUUUUUUUUUUUUUUUUUUUUUUUUUUUUUUUUUUUUUUUUUUUUUUUUUUUUUUUUUUUUUUUUUUUUUUUUUUUUUUUUUUUUUUUUUUUUUUUUUUUUUUUUUUUUUUUUUUUUUUUUUUUUAUUUUUUUUCUUUUUUUUUUAUUGUCUGUUUUUUUCUUUUAUCCUGUUUUUCUUCCUUUUCAAGAUCUUGAAAAGAGAGAGAAAAUGAGAGAGAGAGAAUGAGAAAGAGAAAACGAGGGAAAGAGAAUGAGAGCAAGAGAGAGAGAGAGGAGGAGAAAUUUUUGGAGUUUUUUUAUUUUUAGUGGCUUUGAUAUUGAAAAUACUAUAUAAAGAAUUUUAGAUGAAAUCAGUCAGUUGAUACAAUUAUUGUUGUUAUGUGCUAUUAUCGUAUGAUAAGCGGGUGGGGCUUUUCUUGUUUUCGUAAACAUCAAGAUUUUAUUGGUUGGGUCUAUGAUUCCAGCCUACAUGAUACUCAAAAGGGCCCUGGUUCAUCUGGAAAUGAAAAGUGCUUUAUGAACGUUUGGAUUGGUGCUUCCUUGACUCGGUUUGGUAACUUCAAUUUCUACCCACCUAUAUCGUGUUAAGUCGGAUCACCGACCUAUUUUCAUGGUUGCGACCAAGCUCAAGAAGUCAAAUCUUCCUCAUACCUUUCGCUUUAUGGCUUCAUGGUUGUCACAUGUUGAGUUUAAGCCUUUUUUUGUCGGAAUGGAAUCGGUCUUUUACCUUUAUUCAUCAGAUGUCCAUUCGAGCUACCAAACUGAAAAAAUGAAAUAAGGAAAUUUUUGGCAACAUCCAAACGAAUAGAAGGAGCUUAUCUUUAAACUUGCUGAUGUUUAAGCUCUCGCAGCUCCUCUACUCAUUCAAGACACCACAAUGGACAUUGCAAGUGACCGGAAUACUCAUUUUUUUCACGUAUCCACCUUCCGUAGGCGUGCUCGGAACCACAUUAUUAAGUGAAGGAUGACUGUGGGGUGUGUAUUCAUUAGGUUUGGGAGUCGGUUAAUUUGGUUAAUAACCAUCGGUUAAUGGUCGGGAAGCGCUUUGAUGAUUGAAAUUAAUUAACCAAAUUAACCGACCGAGCAAAAGCCACGGUUAAUCUUACCGACCGAUAACCGACCAAUCAGUUAAAUGAUCGAUUAUUAACAGACUGACUCUCGGUUAACCGUUGUAACCGGCUCUGACCAAUUUAACUCUCUUCUCAUAUUGCAACAAGAUUCUAGGCUCUGGCUCUAGAUCCGUCGUCGAUUCAAGCCUUGGAGACCAUAGCUUCUCUUCUGGAAACAAUCCGGUGCUCUACAACUUGAUCCUUCGGGACUGGAAGCUUUCCGAGACGGCGUUGUUGCGGAUCAGUAAGGAGAGGAGGAAGCUUCAAGCCUAUGGUGUUGCAGAUCGAAGAAUUGAGAGAGUGGAGGAGGAGAGGAUUGGCCGUGGCGACGAAGGAAGCAUGUGGUGUUGCAGAUCGAAGAAUCGAGAGAGUGGAGGAGGAGAGGAGCGCUUGCGGUGACUCGUCGUGGUCGUCGUCGUGACUGCCGGCGAGAUGCUGAAAUUGAAUCGCUUGGAUUGAUAGAGUUGUCGAGAUGGAUUGAUGGAGUUGUCGAGAUGGAUUGAUGGAGAUGGCUCGGAGUUAACCUAAUUUCAGAAUGAGAGGUUGUGAUGGAGUGGGAGGCUGGGAGGGGAGGGAGCGAUUCUGCGAUUGUGGUGAGCAAAGCUUGAUUUCCUAAUUGGGGACCUUGGUUUUUUUAAUUACCGGUUAACGUUGGUUAACUCGAGUUAACCAACGAUUUUACCCUGCUCCAACAAGUACUCCCAACUGUUCCCCGACCGACCCCUACCUCGGUUAAACCGACACUCUAACCGAGUCGAUCAGUUCAUCUGUUUAACCUAUUAACCGAGACUGAUGGCCCACCCUUAGUAUUCAUCCAGCUUGUUGCUGCAAUUAGUGUCGUAUUGAUAUGGUUGAGAGAGGAUAAAAUAUGCUUGAUUUCAAGUUCUCCAACUUGAAAGGUUUAGCUGUUAAAAAUGUAGAGGUCAUGACUGAGUACUGAUUUCCAGCAAGGAGAAGUUGGAUAUUUGCUUGCGAUAAAAAAGAAUUUGGACAGUCUAUCUUAGGCACAAAAUCUAACGGAUGAGAUGGCAACUUUACUUCAGGGGCCUAUUGGUCAUUUUAAAAUUUUCUUGUUUUUCAGUUUAUUUUUCCAUUCUGUUUAAUAUUGGUUCAAGUAAAAUGAUUUCUUGUAAAUUGGGUCUAUUGAGUAACGUGGGUGGGUAGACUUUAUUGCUCCCAUCGAGCUUGACGUGAUAUUUUCUUCUUCGUUUCUUUAACAUGCAUAAAUUGUAUAUAAUACGAAAGGUUGGAAAUAUAUGUGAAGCUCGAGGUUUAUUAUAUAUGUUUCGAGGUUUAUUAUAUAUGUUGAACCUUUUUGCCAAUUGGUUAUUUUUAUCAUGUAGUGCCUUAUCAAGUAAAGGGAAUGGUUGUUUUUAUCUACUGUCACUAGCCAACUUUCUUUCUCAUGUGAUCAAUUAUUUGAUCACGCAUGAAUGACUACAGUACACAAAAGAUAGAAAUAUUAUAAAAACAAAAAACAAAUAUUAAAAAAAAAUACCUAAAAAGCAGGUACAUAACAACAAAAACAAUAACCGUAAAUAUCAAGUACAUGAAAGCGGAUGCUCAAAAUAAGCACGCACACAUUAAAAACUUUGGUACAUACAAGGCAAGAAAAUCGAGAACAUAUUGGAACUCGAGUACCGGAAUUGGUACGGUAUUAAGUACAACGUGAAGAAAUAUCAAGUACAUUAAAAAGCGAGUAUAUAACAAUAGAAAUAAGUACACGAAAACAACUCAGAGAAAUGAUAAUUUGAUUGCCAAAAUUGAGUAUGAUAAAGUAAAAUGCAAGCACGUAGUACAUGAAACAAAUAUGAGUAAGAGUACAUAAAUUUUUUAGUACAAUACAAGACAAAAACUCAAAUACAUAUAAAAACUGGACACUAAAAAAAAUAAUUAAUUAUUCACAAUUUUAAAUAAUAAUAGUCACGAUUUUUAUCAUGAUUAACAGAAGCUAGUCACGAAAAUAAAUCCGUAACUAACCUAACCGAUGCUAGAUGAACUUGUCACGAAUCUGAAUAACCUGUAACUAAGUUGUCACCGAAAUUUUCCGUGACCAACUCAUCACGGAAGAAACCGUGAACAUAUGUGUUUUUGUUUUUGUUUUUUAAAUUAGUGGCACGGAGCCAUAUGCUGUGAUAAUUGAUUUAUUAAUAAAUUAAUCCCACAUCUCCGUGGCUACUAUAUCACCAGAAUUUCCAGAUUCCGGCAACCACAAUUUCCAGAAUCCGGCAAUAAGAUAGAGUUGAUAAUUGCUUUUUUAUUAGAGUAAAAUGUUCUACAUCUAUACAUUAUGAUACCCAUAUCAAAAUUCCAGAAUCCCAAAAUUGAACAUAACGUCAACGAAAGGCACCAUGCAACAAUGGUGACACUAAGGGUUACAACAACCAGCAAAACCGAAACACAGACUGGAAAUGCUACCAAGAGAAGGAUGAGACUAGAUGAUGAGAUUGAGAUUGAGAGAAGAAAAAUGAUAGUAAGAAAUUUUGUUUUCGAGAGAGAUCAAAUGAAGAUGAGAUCUACUUCUAAUUUAAUAUAAUGGAAAUGGAGAUAUGGUUGUUUAAUGGCAAAGAGAGAAGAAAGGAAUAGCCCAUUAAACGAGGAUAGAGUCUGCAUCAUUUCUUUUUUCGACCUUUUCCCACUAAAAUGCUAAUUUUAAAAUUAUAAAUAAAAGUUGGUCACGGUUCCAACAUUUACCGUGAGUAGUUGGUCGCGGUAUUCAACAAUCCAUGACUAGUUAUGGAUUUUUUUUUAUCUAUAAGUAGUUAGUCAUGGUUUUUAAAGCCGUGAUUAAUAAAUCGUGAUUAAUCGUUGAUUUUUUUUGUAGUGCGAGUAUGAGUAUUGAGUAAAACGUCAUGUACAAAAACAAGUACAUCAAAAGCGAGUACAUAAUUAUCAAAACAAGUACUAAAACGAGAGGAAAAGUACAUAAAAAGCGAGUAUAUAAUAAUAGAAACAAGUGCAGUAAAAAUCAAGUGCAUGAAAGGAAAACGAAACUCAAACUAAACACUAAUACAAAAAAAACUUUAGUACGCAAAUAAGUAAAUACAAGAAAAUUAACAUACACAAACGAAUACAUAAGAGUAUAGUGUUUAAACAAAGCGAUUAUACGGAUCAAUACGAUGUUGAGUACAAAACAACAACUUGAGGCUUUAUCCCUCAUUUUUAGAUGAUUUUGUACUAAGUUCUUAUAUGUAUUAGUUUUUAUUAAUGUAAUCCCUCGUGUACUUUGUCUUUGGAUUUAUUUUUAUGCCAUAUCUAUUUAUUUACGCAUUUGUGUAUACUUAUAUUUUUAGAACUUUAUACUCAAAUCAAUUAAUCAAACAAUAAAACUAUUUUCUCUUUACACGAACCAACAUAAUAACCCAUCACCCCAUACAGGGUUGUGAAGGAGGUGCAGUGACCAGAAUUUUCUAGUUGUUGCUUUUCUAUAGUUUGAUAAGGGUAAGCAUCUUGUUCUAGAAUAUAUGUUGUUAGGUUAUAACAAUGCAUCUAGUUGAGCAUGAUUCUUUGGUCAAGUGUUACUGGGAUUCUUUUUGUUCCACAUCAAUGCUCGGAGGUCGAAGAGGCAACGAGGGUGACGAAGAAAUCGGCAUCACCACGUGAGAGAAGAUGAAGAAGAGGUCAGAGAGUGGAGCCGGUGGAAAAGAUAUACUAGAAGAGGUACUUAAAGUUACUUGUACGACAAAACUGCCCUUAUUCAAUUGGACAACCCCUAGAUUAAAAUUUAAAAAUGAACGGACGCGAUUCGUUUGCGGCCAGCAAACACAUAAUAUCAUGGCUGCCUAUCCGGACUCGUCAUAACUGGCGUCAACAUUACGUAGUGUUGUCAAAAAUUAAAAAGGGGAAUAUAUAAUAAUAAUAAUAACAGACGUAAUCUUGUGUAUAUAAUGAUAUUAAAACGUUUUUCAAUCGACAAAGCCAAGUCUGCGGGAGGAACAGCUAAUGGACGAACAGCCUAAGCAUAAGCCGCCUUCUUCGUAUUCUUCAGAUUCUCUGAAUCUCUACCCUUUUUUUUUGUUACGCGGAUUCCCUUCCCUCGUCUGCAAACAAAAAGCUCUUCGUUGACUUUUUAGCAGGCUUUUUUAAAAAACCUUAAUUGAAAAAAUUUGUACAUGGUUGUUGCCUUUGUUGGCGUCAGCAUGACCCAAUGCUGUUGUCAUGUUCAUGAUUGCUCCAACUCACCUGGCUGCGCAUCUGCCUUCUGACCUGACCUGCCCUCCUCCUUUUUUUUAAAUUAUGUUUCCCCAAAAUUAAAUUUAAAUCGUUACAAAAUUGGUCUCUCCUUCUCCUAUAUAUAACGUGGAAGAGCUCCUGCCAAAAAAGUCAUUCAAACUCAAAGCAGAUAAAUUAUCAAAAUAAAAAAGAAAACCCCAGUGCUCUGCCUGCCGUUAAGAAAUUAGUUUAUUGGGUUUGUUGUGUUUAUGAAAGCUGUGUUCCAGAGACUGAUAUCGUCAAGCACCCAGAUUGGCUGUAGGAAGAAAGUUGCAUCUUUUCCAUUAAUCAGAAGCGCUAAUAUGUCUGAAUCCUCUGCCUUUGAUUCUCCGAGAUUGGUGACCAAGAAGGUCCUUGCUAAGCUUCAGCGUGAAGGGGAUGGUGCUUCUGUCAGGAGAAGCAUUGGAAGGUAUAAUAUAAUAUAUCAUGGAUGGAUGGAUGGAUAUACAAUUUUCUUCUUGUCAAAAUUGAAUUAACUGUUUUCGUUUCUGUGGUGAAAUUGAAUGAUUGAAUGUUGAAUUAUUUUGGUUCAGGAGUGAGCUCAGGUCUCUGGACCCUUUCCUCAUGUUGGAUGAGUUUUCAGGUCUGCUUUGCUUAAUUACUUGAAACCAAAUUCCUUGAUAUUUUCUAGAAUUAGGAUGAUGAUGGAUGAUGGAUGGUAUUUAAUUUGUUGUUGCAAAUUGCAAUGCAUGAAGUCUCAGCUCCUGCUGGAUUUCCUGAUCAUCCACACAGAGGUUUUGAGACUGUUACAUACAUGCUGGAGGUACAGACAGUACUGGAGUUAAUUAUUUAUUAUGAAUUGAAGGCUGUUUUUUGUCCUUGGUAGUCUAUUUAUUGAUGUCUGUGAAAUUCGUGGGUGGCACUGGCAGGGAUCAUUCACUCAUCAAGAUUUUUCUGGGCAUAGAGGGACUAUUCAUGCCGGGGAUGUUCAAGUAAAAUAAUUCACUCAAUUACAAUACUACGACGUUUACUUAAUUAGCUAGCUUUACUUGAUCAAAGUCAAAAACUCUUUCUUUUUUUAAAGUAAACAACAACAACAACUUGUGUGUUUUCCUGUUGGGCAGUGGAUGACAGCAGGUAGAGGGAUAGUCCAUUCAGAAAUGCCUGCAGGAGAAGGAGUCCAGAGAGGCCUUCAGCUUUGGAUAAACCUCUCUUCUCAACAUAAAAUGUAUGUUUUUAUUUCCUUUUUUGUUUGUACUUUCCAACUUCACCAUUCCAACAGUUUGUAAUAUGGAACCAACAGGAUUGAGCCAAGGUAUCAGGAACUUCUGAGGCAGGACAUCAAAAGAGCAGAGAAAGACGGGGUUGAAGUCCGAAUCAUAGCAGGGGAAUCAAUGGAAAUCGAGUCUCCAGUUUAUACAAGGACCCCAACAAUGUACCUUGAUUUCACACUGCAACCAAGGUCCCAAAUGCACCAGCCCAUUCCAGAAUUAUGGAACGCAUUCAUUUACGUCAUUGAAGGUGAGGGAGUGUUUGGGAUCCCAAACUCCUCACCAGUUGAAGCACAUCAUACACUCGUUCUAGGCCCUGGUGAAGGAAUGAGCGCCUGGAACAACUCCUCUUCCAAACCCUUGAGGUUUGUCUUGAUUGCAGGCCAGCCACUUAACCAACCAGUGGUGCAGCAUGGUCCUUUUGUCAUGAACACAGAAUCUGAAAUCCACCAAGCAAUUGAAGAUUACCACUACUCCAAAAAUGGGUUUGAAAUGGCGCAGUAUUGGAGUUCCCAAUAGGGAACAAGUAAGUGCUUGGAUCACUCAAAACCAAAUCUCCACAUUCCCUCUCAACUUUGAAGAAGAAAAGAGUAAAGAAUAAAAAUACACAUCCACAAACACUAAAGGCCACACGCAUAUGUGAGUGAUACUCAUUUGUGUUCCAUCAUGUAUUAAUUUAGCUUUUAUCCUCUUCCAACCUUUUACUAUUCCAAAUCAAAAGGUUGAUUAUUGCAUUGUCACACAAAACAAUGAUAAUAAAAAUACUCAAUUCAUAUAAUCCUUAGAAUUAAUUCUUUUCAUAACUAUAGUAGAUGUUUGAACAAGUGAGAACAAAAUAUAAGCUUAAUCUUAAUAGUAAUAUCAACGGAUAAUAGCACUGUGUGUCACUUAAUUAUUACCCAUGUCGCACAUAAACUACUUAACUUUCUACAUUGCACAUAAAGCCACUUAACUUUGCUUAUGCUUGCAACAUCCAAAUUUUCAUUCAAUUUAUGGAUAGACUGAUCGAAUUGAUGAGUUCUUAUUCGAGAUCUUCUGUAUGAAUAACCUCCAACACAUUAAAGAGAACAAUAAUUUAUAAGAACUGACAGAAUAACUUAUUACUUGUUUACAGAAAAGAAUGAUAAAAUAAAAAGGCAAGAAUAGAUUAUAAUCAUGCCUUGGACACUGCUUUCGAAAAAAUAUUUCCCGAAUUUAGAACACCAAUACAACUAAAGGUUAAUCACAAUAUUCACUCAAACUCUAGUGUAGGGCUUGAAUGUUGGAACUUGGAAACUUAUGCUAUUUUGAUUCCGAUUUUGAGAGUGAAAACAAAGUUUUCUGCCCAUAUUAAUCAACUAGGAUUUCCCUUUUUAAAGAGAACGCAUCCACUAACCAACAUCAAAUCCAGAUUCUCCUUUCUGAUGAUCAUCAAUGAUAAGCAGAUAUGGGGAAGGUGGAGUUGAGCUCCCGAUUUCUAGGAAGCCAACCAAAUACUUCUGUUAAGCAUAAGUCUUGAGUAUAUGCGGUAUGUAACUGAUCAUUACUGUUACUUCAAGUGGUUAGAUAAUGGUUACAUCAUCUUGCUGUUGUCCGUUGAUGACAUGUUGAUAGCAAGUUCUAUUGUAAAAGAAGUAAACAAGUUGAAGAAACAGUUAUCUAACAGUUUACUAUUAAGAAUAUAGGAGACGCUAAACAGAUUUUGAGUAUGUGCAUUGAUCAUGAUAGGCAAGUAGGAAAGUUUUAUCUUUCGCAAGUUGAAUAUAUCAAGAAAGUCUUGAAGAGGUUCAAAAUGCAGGAUGCAAAACUAGUAAAGAUUCCUUUGGGUGGCUAUUUCAAGCUAUUUGAGAAGGAUAUGCCUAAUAAUGAUCCAGAACGUGCCCAAAUGCACGAAACACCAUACAUUUUUGUAAUUGAUAGCUUGAUGUAUGGAAUGGUGUGCACAAUACCAGAAAUUGCACAUGUAGUGGGAGUUGUCAAUAGAUUCAUGGGAAAUCGGGGGGAAGCGAUUAAGUACUCCUGAGAUAGUUGAAGAUUACUACUAAAAGGGUCUUGGGCUUUGAGGGCAAAGUAAUGUAGUUAGAAGGAUUUGUCAUCAAGUGACCUUGAUAGAAGAAGAUGUACAACAUGGUAUAUUUUUACUCUUUGAGGUACCAUGGUUUCUUGGGCUUUUAAGUUGCACUGUCUAACACUCAAGCUAAAUAUGUUGCGGUAACGAAGGCCAGCAAAGAGAUGGUAUGGUUUUAGAAUUUCUUUGGUGAAUUGGGGAAGAAGAAAGAGGAUAGCAUAUUGUACAUUAGUCUUAUACACUUGCAAAAAAUUCAGCAUUUCAUUCAAAAUCGAAGCUCAUAUUGAGUUGAUGUAUCACUUUAUGGGUUGAUCUCUUGGAAAGGAAGAUCUUACGGCUUAUGAAGAUUCUAGGAAGUGAGAAUCCUAUGGAUAUGCCGACUAAGGUUGUAAAGUUGGAGAAGUUGACACUGUGUAUGACUUUAACUGGUUUUGUAACUGAAGUUGAAGGUCAGAUGCUGCUUGUAGUAGGAAGACGUUGAACAUGGAGAACCAAUGAGAGGAGUAUGUCUUCAGGUGGGAGAUUGUUGGGUUAUGGUGCCUAAGAAACUGAAGGCUUGGUCCAGUUAGUUUGUUUAGUUAGAUAAAAAUUAAGAUUAAUCUUGUCUAUUCUAUAUAGGAUUAGAAUUAAUAUGGUAGCUCCCUAUAAAUAAUCUAUAUUCAUAUCAUUGUAAUCUGUAUCACAACAAUAGUAGUCGAAAUCCUAACUUGGUUUGUAAAAAAAGAAAUUCUAGCGUGGUAGCGCCCUAGACAUACUCUUCUCGUGAAGAGGAACUAGGUUCUUAAUUUUUCAGUUUAUGAUUGCGUUUCAUUUUUUACAGGAACGACCAGAUCCAGCUCAGAAACUUCCUCAAGAUGGCGACGUUGAAGAAGCUCUGUCUCGCUAACGCCUAACAAUGGCUUCUCUAGACUGAUUCAGACUGUCCUCACCGCUGGAAAAGGAGAUUAGAUAGAAAUCCAUCUUUUAUUCCUCUUCAUUGUUUUUAUGACAAUUUCUUCUUUUCUUUUAUAAUAGAGAACUAUUUAUCACUUUUGUUGGACAUUUCUUGUUUGUUUCCCUCAAGAACUAAUAAUUUUGGUCAAUGGGUGACCACUGAUGAUGUUGAUUCUAUAAGCUUUAGUAUUUAGUCAAAUUCUUGAGUUUUUUUCAACUAGAAAAAAAAAGAAGAGAGGUUACAGUUUCAAUUAUUAAGUUUGAAGAAUUAAAGAAAAAAAACUAGACUACAGAUAUGAAAAGGUAAUUCUGAUAAUUUUUAUUGAUGAAUUUUUUUUUUGUAAUGAGUAAGAUAAUUUUUUAGGUUUUAUAAAUGGGUUUUUGGUUAAAAAUCUCAUUUAGAUAGAGUUUUUGAUGGGUAAUUAUGAAAUUUGACAUAAAGGGUACAUGAUUAAAAAGGUGGGAAAGGAAGAUGCGAAAAGAAGGUAAGAAGGAAUCAAUUCAUGGCAAAAAAGAAAAAUAAAUAAGAGGGAAGAAAGAAGACAUAUAUUGAUGGGAGGCGGAGGUGGGAUAGGGAGGUGAGAGAAAGAUGUAACAACAAAGAAGGGUUUAGCGAAAGGUGNNNNNNNNNNNNNNNNNNNNNNNNNNNNNNNNNNNNNNNNNNNNNNNNNNNNNNNNNNNNNNNNNNNNNNNNNNNNNNNNNNNNNNNNNNNNNNNNNNNNNNNNNNNNNNNNNNNNNNNNNNNNNNNNNNNNNNNNNNNNNNNNNNNNNNNNNNNNNNNNNNNNNNNNNNNNNNNNNNNNNNNNNNNNNNNNNNNNNNNNNNNNNNNNNNNNNNNNNNNNNNNNNNNNNNNNNNNNNNNNNNNNNNNNNNNNNNNNNNNNNNNNNNNNNNNNNNNNNNNNNNNNNNNNNNNNNNNNNNNNNNNNNNNNNNNNNNNNNNNNNNNNNNNNNNNNNNNNNNNNNNNNNNNNNNNNNNNNNNNNNNNNNNNNNNNNNNNNNNNNNNNNNNNNNNNNNNNNNNNNNNNNNNNNNNNNNNNNNNNNNNNNNNNNNNNNNNNNNNNNNNNNNNNNNNNNNNNNNNNNNNNNNNNNNNNNNNNNNNNNNNNNNNNNNNNNNNNNNNNNNNNNNNNNNNNNNNNNNNNNNNNNNNNNNNNNNNNNNNNNNNNNNNNNNNNNNNNNNNNNNNNNNNNNNNNNNNNNNNNNNNNNNNNNNNNNNNNNNNNNNNNNNNNNNNNNNNNNNNNNNNNNNNNNNNNNNNNNNNNNNNNNNNNNNNNNNNNNNNNNNNNNNNNNNNNNNNNNNNNNNNNNNNNNNNNNNNNNNNNNNNNNNNNNNNNNNNNNNNNNNNNNNNNNNNNNNNNNNNNNNNNNNNNNNNNNNNNNNNNNNNNNNNNNNNNNNNNNNNNNNNNNNNNNNNNNNNNNNNNNNNNNNNNNNNAUGGGUUUGUGGUUAAAAAUCUCAUUUAGAUAGAGUUUUUGAUGGGUAAUUAUGAAAUUUGACAUAAAGGGUACAUGAUUAAAAAGGUGGGAAAGGAAGAUGCGAAAAGAAGGUAAGAAGGAAUCAAUUCAUGGCAAAAAAGAAAAAUAAAUAAGAGGGAAGAAAGAAGACAUAUAUUGAUGGGAGGCGGAGGUGGGAUAGGGAGGUGAGAGAAAGAUGUAACAACAAAGAAGGGUUUAGCGAAAGGUGAUAUAAACAAAAUUAAUUUUGUAAGAAAAUAUUUUUUUUAAUGCCAUGUCAACUAGUUUGUAACUUUUAGUGUCCAUGUCAACAAACAAAAUUUUAUAAAGUUACCAAAAUUCAAAAUUUGUGUUACGAAAAGUAUUUCUAAUAGAUUGUGCCAUUUUCGGUAAAGGCUUAAUAGGUUGUGCAUUUAAGAAAAAAAAUAUUAUUGUGUUUCUACAAUUAACAUCAAUUAUCACCAAACCAUUAAAUACUAAAAACCAAUUAAGAUAUAGUCAUGUUACAAAAAAUGACUCUUGUUAUGAUUUUUUUGUUUAUGCAAUGAUAGGAUGAGAUUAAAAGGUUAAUUUCUUUUUCGACAAAACUUGUAAAAUAUUAUUAAACUCAAUUAGAUAUAAUAUCAUCUACAGUUGGUCAAUCAAAAAAAUUGAGGGUCUAUCCACCGAAACAAUCGUGGAGUUCCAAUGAGUCUGAUUAUACGCCAUAACAUGGGUAAGCUUGUUAACUUAUCUCCGGCCAUGACGCCAAUUACCACAAUCAAACUUUGCCAAAAGGCAACGAAUUAUGGACUAAAAUCCAUGUUCGGUAUGAUGAUCUUCCACAUGAUGCAAAGUCUCAACCAUGAUCAAGCUAUCACUUUCAAGAACCACAUUAGGAUACCUAUGUUGCAAGGCCAAUUGUUAGCAAAAUCUUGCCUCGACCGCCUCAGUUAAAGUAGGCUCAUAGCAACCCUACAAUUUCAACAUAUCCGCCAUUAAGUAAUGCCGAACGCCAUCCCAGAUAACCACCCCAAUACCCAUUCUGGAUCCUGUAAUGAUAGUUGCGUUUAAGGUAGUGAAACUGGUGAGUCAACAUGGGAUCGAAAAGGGACCUAGAAUCGUAAUCGUAAAAUCAAAUCGCAAAAUCAUAAAAUUUCACGGUUCUUCAAUAAUACUAAAUAUUCAGAAAUUCACCUUAGCAUAAAGACGUAAGUUCAUUAUCCAAUCUAAAAUUAAAAAUAAAAUCUCAAAUUCACCUUAAUAGGUUCUUCAGUUGCACUACUUUGAGCUGAUUUUCGAGUCUAGGAGACCGGAGACAAAAUCUGUGAACAAAAUUGUACAAUCUUACAACAAAAAACAAAAUACCUUCGAACAAAGAACCUAAACACCAAAAAUCCAAAACUAAUCUAACAAAAACAGAAUUAGAGAAAGGAAUGGGAUGAUGAGCAAAAUCAUGGAAUGGGAUGAUGAAGAAUCAUGGAAUCAAGGAAACAGAGAUACCUUCGAGCCGUAGGAGUGGCUGGAGCGAUGGGGACGACCAAAGAGGCUAUGACGAGGACCAUUGACUCCUGGUUCUGGUCUUCUAGACUUCUGGGGGACGACCGACGGGGGAGACGACAAGAGAGAAGACUGAGGAUCGAGCAGAGAUCGAACGAGCAAUCGACGACUUGCACAAUUUUUUUCAGAAGAUAAAUGAAUUUAAGGUUCGAUUUUUUGCCCAAAAUUGAACUCGGAUUUCCGUUUCGGUUCGAACCGAAGCAUAAAAACCAGCGGUCAGCACAGAGUAGUGGACUCGUGAAUCGUUGUAAACUCGUUCGAUUCCACGAUUUUCACGAUUUUGCGAGCGAUUUCAUGCCAUUAUAAGCCAUUUUGAUUGCGCGUGAAAUCUGACUCGACGGACCUAACAAAACUCGUAAAAUCGUCGAUUCCACUUCCUUCGUUGUGUAUGUACUGAUAUGGGGUUCCUGGUUUAGUGGUUGAACCGGGGUUGGACCGUUUUUAAACCGGGUCGGCCAUUUUAAAUAUUACAUAAAGUUAAAUCGGACCGAAAAAAUAUUGGAUUGAACGAAAUCAAACUGACAGUACAAAUAGUCAAAUUUUGAGAUUUAACCUUUGAAAAUUGAACAAUUUUAAAAAAUUUAUGUACAUUAUGAUGUUAUUCUUUUUUAAGUUUAUGUAAUAUAAUGAUAUUAUCUAUAGUUGAAGUCUUCCACACAUAUAUAUCUAGAAUGCUAAAGAAACCCUAAUGGAUCUUUCAAUCUUUCUUUAAUUGGGCUCCAACUACUCAAUACCCUCUCUCACACUUUUUUUCUCUAUAGAGAAACUCUCUCCCUUUUUCAUCAGAUUUUUUUCUCCUUGUAAUCUAAUCUUAUUUUUCUAAUAUUUUCAUUCUAUUUCUUCCCUAUUUGUCUCUUUUACUUUUUUCUUUUUGGAAGGUUAUUAGAAAAAGAGGACCACUAAAUAAUUCCGUCGACGUCCAGCAAUAGGGUUUUCCAAUUUUUUCACAGAUGGAUCCAUGUUUCCAAAGUUCUUUUGUUUUUUUUUCUGAUCUGAUAGUUGGUUCUUUAACUAGUUGAAUUAUCUGGUUUUCCGGGGAAAUCGGGUCAAUCCUCAGUUUUGUUCAUUCUCCUCAACCGCUAACUCAGUAUUGAUCAAAUGAUCGGUUCACAGUCGGACCGGCCGGGCUGAUAUGGUUUUGCUAACAUUGAUCUUAGUAGAGCCGACUAGAGGCCAUUCCAACCGAGCCACAAUGGCCUCAUACGAAAAACUCCUAGUUACCCUGAGUUCUUGAUAAUAAAUAAGAAUUGGAGUGCUUGUGCUAUGAUAUCACACUCCAAUUAGUGAAACUCAUUAAGCAUACACACAUUCCUUUCUUUCCAUCAGAAUCACAUAAGCAUUACCCAUCUUUCCAACUCCAAAUUCAAAACUUUGCGGUUGCUAAGUGAGAACCAAUCGCAUCAGUCAUUAGAAUCAUCAAAAUCAACCAGUGAUCAUGUUUAGAGUUACCUCAAAUCCGCCAAGUCCAUUGGCAAUCUCGGAAAUAGUGAAUUUGCAGGCAACCUGCAAAAUGGGCAUAUAUCACCAUGUCGAGGAUUAUGCUUAUACAUAUUAUACCUGUAGGUAAAAUUUACGAUGAAAUUUUCAUAAGAACUGCUCACCUUCGACGGAAUCUACAAUGACCAAGAACAAUUCCAAACAUCCGAGUUGCAAUUUGGAUUAAGACCCACUAAAAGAAAACCGUGUCCAUUAUUACGGAUAAAACCGGCCGUUGUCACUGAUAUUUCCAUGUCCCUGCCUCGUUGUCGCGGGAAAAUCAUCCGCGACAACGGGCGCCUUCAUAAUGAGGGGUGNNNNNNNNNNNNNNNNNNNNNNNNNNNNNNNNNNNNNNNNNNNNNNNNNNNNNNNNNNNNNNNNNNNNNNNNACGGCCGCCUUCAUAAUGAGGGUUGUGGGGACUAAACUAUCCGCGAAAAAUAGGGUUGGCGCGAACCCGUUAUGACCGGUUUGGUUCAAAUAGUUAGGUUGAAAGGCAUUUUAACAAGUUUAUCCGCAAAAACGGCAAGAGAUAUCCGCGACAAUGGCUAACAACAUUUGUUUUGCCGUCAUAACGGUUCCCCUAACGACGUUGAGUUUAUCCACGGCCAAGGUUGACAUUGUUAGUUUCUCCAUCCUACCCGUAAUGGUUGUUGUGCCAAAUACUAGGCCAUAAUAUCUGCGACAACAGCUCAAGUACUGCCUAAAAUUUUGUUAUUUUUGCUUGUUUCGUCCACUGUGGGCGCCUAAAAUAAAAGUUUAUAUAUGCACUAUUCUACACAUAACACAAUAUAUACCAAUAUCAUUAGCAUAACGAUAACACAUAUGAUCAUCCAAGAGUUAAUACUAUAACAUAAUCCAUAGAUCUACUCCAACAUAAUUCCUUGAUUUUUUACCUAACUAAAGUCAUUAGUUCACUAGACUACAUCACUAUCAACCUAGAUAUAACUACACUAGAGACUCGUCAUCCUCAUCCUCGUCAUUAUGACCAAGAUCCUUAUUAGCUCAAGUAUACAAAAGAAGAUAUAUAAAAUUGAAAUUAGGUUAAAACACAUAAAAUUAAGUAACAUGAACUUUAUAACAUAUAAAGAUUACUAAUAAUUUACCCGCCACAUCGUAGUCGUAGUUCUGUUGGAUGUGGUUAUAUUAUAUUAACCGCUACAAUCGUCGUUACGGAUCAUUAUCCGUGUCCGACGAUGACCUAACCGUGACACCCGUUAUCGCGGAUAUUAUCCCCCAUAACUAAUCUACGUCAGACAUCAAAUUUUGUUGUAGUGGCCAAGCUAUUCUUUAAAGCUAGUCAGCCAGUUUUAAUACCCCUAUUUUUUCGAAUAAACAGCUUUACUACUUGAAAUCCAAAUAAGCAUUCCGAUUCUUGAACAUCGCAAUGAAUAAUUUGCACGAUAGAAGUUGAUAUAGUUGACCAAAAACAGCUUUCAAUAAGAGCAGUAUUCUACUGAUAAGUCGUUCGAUUAACCAACUCACGAACUGUAGCAUCAACAUCAAACCUCAUCGGCGUAGAGGUCACAAAAUUACCGGGUACUAACGGAAGCCAUCCGUCUCCCCAAAUUCUAACGGACAUACAAUUUCCCACCCACCACCCAAGGCCACUCCAUACAAAACAUUGAGCACCAAAAAGGCUAUGCCAUAUAAAGCUAAACCCAACUCAGCUUUAAAGACAUAAUAGAAUUUUUAAAAUACUUAGCUUUCAUAAUUCUUACAAUAAGGGAAGAUGCUCUUGAGUGUAAGUUCCAAAGAUGUUUAGCAAGUAAAGUAAUGUUAAAGCCUAAAAAAUCACAUAAUCCCAUCCUAGCUUCGGAUUUCAAACUCAAUAGAUAUUCUUGACAAAAUGAGGGAUGAGCACUGGGUCGGGUCACCCAUCAAAACCCACCCGCCUAUAAUCACUCUCUACCACUACUACCCUUUUCCCCAUCACCAUAAAACUUUGCAUGCUUGUUUGUGUGUUUUUGUAGUUUUUUUGUGUGUUUUAUGUCGCUUUUCAUCGUUUGAGUAGAGAGAGAGAGGGAGAGAGAGAGGGAGAGAGAGAGAGGGAGAGAGAGUAUUUCAAGGGUUGCAUGUCAUACCAAUGAUUAAGAAUGCAUGAUAGAAGGUCUCGAUUCAAAUUAGGGUUCGGUCGGUGUCUGAUCGAAGGACGAAUGAUGCUUGCAUUAUUUUAUUUUUACUGAAAAAUUGGGCUUCUGGAGCAGCCUUUAGAUCAAUCUCAAGGUGUGUGGCUUUGCAUAGUGUGUGUCGUUUCCUUAAGUUUCUCUCGAUAGAAAAUCGAGUUUAUGGCGUGUGAUCCCACAUGCCAUGUGACUGAUUUUUGACAAAACGAACCGACCAAAGAACAACCAAAAACCCAACCGGCUCAAACCGUAAUGAACCAGAUUGAUUUUCAAACCGAUUUUCAACCAAAUCAAACUGAGUUUGACCAGACGCAUUGACCCUUCGUUGACCGGCCGUUGCCCCCGUUGACCGGUCACCAUGGAAGAAAAAACAUGGCAGUUUAGUAGUAUUUUGGGCAUAACAUUUUGCUCGGGAGUCUGAUUGACACAAGGUCAGUGACGUUGGAAACUUGUUCAGUUGCCUACAACUUUGAUGUCAUGAUGUGGCCUAAAUCCAUGCAGUUUGUGCUCAUUUUUCUUGGUUUGGAUUGAUGGAAUUUGAGAAAGUUUGAAUUGUGGUCUUGUUUGGUUUGAUGAUUUGGUGCGAUCGUGAUCAAUUUCUUGAUAGUAUUAUAGUGAUAUGUUCAUUGCAAAUGCUAACGUUUGGGAUGGUUGUCCAAAAUGGAUAAUUCUAGCUUUGCAAUGUGAAGAUUGCUGGAUGUUGAGACGUGAUCACUUUGUCACUCUUGUAUCGAUGGCAUGUUGUUGAUUUUCAUGAGAACUUGGAAUGGCAUCAUGAUGCUUCAAAGUGUGGUUGAACGUAGGUUGUUACUAGGCCUGAGAGUCGGUUAAUUUGGUUACUAACCAUCUGCUUAAUGUUCGGGGAAAAUGAUUUGGAGAUUAAAGUUGGUUAAUCGGUUUAACUGACCGACCAUAUGUAAUGGUUAAAAAGCCGACCAAUAACUGAUAAAUCGGUUAAAUAACCAAUUAUUAACCAACAGAUUAGUCGGUUAAUCCUAUGAACUGACUUUGAUUGAUUGACCGACUAUACCGACUUAACCUAACAAGAUCUGAAUCUCCAUGCUCAUCUCUGCCAUCGAGUGAGCCACGUUCUGCUCAUGAUAACCGUUCGUCCAAGCAUUCAUACUCUACUAAGAAAGCUUGCCAUGGCCGCCACUCUGAACACCGGUCAAAGAACUGAAUACUUGUUCCAAGAUCCGAACUUCCAGAACCGUCUCCAAUCCAUCUUCCCAAUUGUAGUUUGGACAAAGUUUCCUCAUCUGAAUUUUUACUCAAUCACACAACUACAACCUACACGACAACCAUAAUCAAUAGAGUGGAGGGGGAUAGGAUGAAACAGAGGACUGGUUGAAAUUAUAUGGGCCUAUGUUGCAUCCUCAAUAGCUCGUCGUCGCCAAGCCUCACUGAGCCGUCCCCGAGAGAGGAAGAGACGUAGAGUCUAGAGAUCGUGCUUUACUAGUGCUCAACACUCAUGGAGCCGUCACUGAGAGAGGAACAUAAUCCCUAAUGAAUCGUGAAAUCGAGAAUGAACGGGGAUAAGUGAAUAUGUUUGUGUGUGUGUGAGUUUGACCUAAAAAUGGGGGGAUUGGGAAUACGACGUAGACAUUUGGGUUCAGACUUGGGGUUCUUUUGACCGAUUAAUGUUGGUUAACACAAGUUAACUGACGGGUUUUAACCGAUUCACCGUUUAACUGAAGUCAGUUUUUCUCUUUGACCGUCCCCCAACCAACCUGUAGCUCGAUUAAACCUUCCUCUAACUUAUUCGGUCGGUUAAUCAAUUUUAAACGAUUAACCGAAACUGAAUUCCUACCCUUAGUUGUUACUAGGUGCUUUUGUUGCUCCCAAUUGAUGAUUUGUGAUUAUUUCCAUGCUCAUUUAAUUUGCUUCCAUUGCUCAUAUUUUGUCCUACCAUUACCCUUGAUGACUCAUUGGUUACUCACUGUUUUGGUAAAUGGUUCAAAGAAGCAUGAGGCAUAUUACUAGUCCAUUUGUUCCUGUAAUGAUAUAUCUUUGACCUCACCUUUUGGUAUAACUUGAAUGAUGCAUACGUUGUCACUUCAUGCUUUGCAUACACUCUUUAUGCUCGUUCUUGUUCAUUGGACUUGGUCAACAUUUGUGAGGAUUUCUUUGUGGCAAUUGAUGAUAAAUGAGUUAAGGUGGUCCCAUAGCUUUUGCUUACCCUUGUCUUACUAAUUUAUGAAUUAUAGGAUGCUCUUGUUUAGGAUUGCUAGUUAGUCUUGCUUGAGAAUAACUAGUUAUCUUCUUCAUUGGUUUUGCCUUUCUUUUACAUCUUGCCUAUGCCAUGUCUACUUAUGAGCUAUUUAUUGCCUAUCGUUGCCUAAUUCGAUUGGAUGCUUAUUGAGGUGGUUCCUUAGUGGCCGUAGGAUUAUGGGUUGACACCUCUACAUGCUUGAUGUGUAUGAUUAUUCUCCAUUUCGAAAUUUUCAAUGAUACUUUAAAGUCAAAUUUGAAUGCUCUUUACAAAUGUGUCAAUUUUGGCACAGUUUUCAAGGAUUCAUCAUUUAGUGUUUAUAAUUCAUUUUCGUUUUAAAUUUUCGUUUCCCACAUUUACUUUUCAUGUUUUGUUGCUUUUAUUGUUUUAAAUUUUAUUAUUUUUAUUUUAAUAGGCUUACUUUCCUUGUAUAUCCCCAAUUGUAACUUGGUAUCCGUAUUCUCAACUAAAUCAACAAAUGACACCAAAUAACUUAAAAUUGAGAACUAUAAGAGCUCAAAAGAAGGAGAUUUAGCAGAGUCUCUUAUAGGUUUCAAAAAAGCGAGGAAGGAUCUUCAAGUGGAGAGGACCCUUUCUCCUCCCUAACUCCAAUGGCGAACAAAACUCUAGCAUUAGACCACCUAAAGUCAGACGAUAAGCCAUGCAUUCAUCUCGUGGACUUUAUCUUCUAUUGCGACACCAUCAAGCUACACGGUGUUUCUGUUGAGGUUCACAUCGUGUUCCCCUUGAGUUUCAGCAACCAUCCACUCCAAGCACCUUAAAUCAUCCGUCUUAGUUUCUGCUUGUCCCCAAACACCGUACAUCGCAUGUACUUCGUGAUUUUUCCAUUCUUUGAGGCAUUUAGCUCCUCCUUGUACAUCAUACAGUUAUGAAUAAUGCCUCGACGUUGUUGUGUGCCUGAAAUUGAUAAAAAACACAACGCAACAACAUCAAAUGGACCCCAAACGGGUAUGAGACACUAAAUCGAGAUAGAAGUUACAAAUGCACAAAACAUCAUGUCGUGAAUGUUUCGAUCCGCGACACCGAUGGCUUGAAAUAUUUCAGAGUCGCCACCAAUCUGUUGAAGCGGAUUGGACGCUGUCGACAUAACCCAGGUCCUUUUGGACGUGAGUUAGAACAGGUCUGCGGAACAGAGAUCCUGGAUUCGAGAGGCGGUUACGUGCAGGGAAGGAUUAGCACCCCCAUAGCGCCCGUCAAACCGGUACUACUAAAUUUGAUAAGUUAUGUUUUAUUUUCUUAGUUUAGUGGUUUAAUUAUGCUUUAGUUUGGACGCAUAAGGUUAUGUAAAUUUUUUAGAGAAUAUUUUUAUUCAAUUGUAAGUCUUUAUGAGUUCCCACUCUUGUGGAAAUUUUUUUUUAUGUUGAUAAAUAUUUUGAGUUGAACAUUCUUAAUUUAAUUGUUUGGAUUUACGAAUUCCCAUUCUUGUGGAAAUUUUGUUUUACGCUGGUGAAUAUUUUUAAGUUGGUUAUUUUUAAUUUAUAUGUUUGGACUCAAGUCUUACGACUGCCUACGUACCUAAUUCUUUGGGAUCAAAGAUCAUGUAGUUCGUUAUGGAAAAGUUGAUUUGAGGAUUUUUUGUAAUUUUUACUAUUAUAAAAACCACGUUAUCAUGCUCAUUUUUUAUUUGAAAGACAUUUAUUUGGUUAUUUCAAAGUUGGAACUUUAUUUGCCCACUUAUGAUUAAAUGAUAAUUCUACAAAAUUCGAAACUCUUGUCACGGAUACGAAAUUCAUAUAACAUUGCUAUAAUAUCUUUAAAGGAUUAUUAUUAAGGAAAUUUCACAUUUUUUGCCAAUCGAAAAAUUAAUUGGUUUAUAUCAGUUAACUUAAUUUGACAUAAUUAAAAAUGCAUUACAAGACGGUUAACGAACUUACAUUUAAAUAAAUAUGUCACAAGUAUUUUUGGUGAUUUGACAAUUCUAUUGUGGUUAUGUUAAUGUUAAUUAAAAUGAUACGUUGAUUUGAAUAAUUGUAAAGUUUUGAGUUUUUAAGUUUACAACUUUAAGGUAUAAAUAUCAAAUAGGAUUAAAGAAGGUAUGACGUUUAUUCUGUUAUUCUUCCACACUUAUUUCACUUUUAUUCCACUCUUAAUAUGGCCUUAAUGAUAUAUGAAUAUAAUUGAAUCGACUAAAGGCUUGGCCUUUCUAAAUUAAUUGUGCCCAAGCUCGAGCUCGGCCCAACCGAACGAUGAGCCGAACCGGCGGGUAAGAGGAGGGCAGCCCGCGUGCCAAACUGGUCGAACCGGUUAUCCACGGUUCGAUCAGAAAACUCAAAAAGAUGAAAUUGCCCCUAGCGUUCCGUGCGCUGAAGAAGGGUGGCAGGGGAAAUUUUGUAACUUCACCUUAAACCUAAUCGGCCUUAUAAAAGGGCCUCUUAAAUCGAGAAAUGACUCAUUUGCAACUUCCCACUCUCUCUUUAUCAUCCCUCUUUCUAAACCGCCGCCCUUCUCCCCCCCCCCCCCCCCCCCCCCCCCACCCACCUUUAUCACGGAGUGUGCUGUUUUUUUCUAGUUCCUUUCUCUUCUUCUCAGCCGCCCUUUUUUGCCUCCUCUUACCUCUCAGGACCCCUCUUUCUACCUCCGUUUUUUCGAUUUUUCCAGAUUUGGACUUGCAUGUCAUCGGAGGAUACUCCGGUGAGUCCUCCGGCAAAAUGCAAGUCUCGAUCUGUAGAUCUAAUGUUUUAUUUUGGUAUUAAACAAUUUUGGUUAUUUGAGGGUGGUACCGACGGGGGUGGCGGGGAGGUAGAGAAAUGGAAAAAAGAGAAAGUUAGGUAAGUAAGAUUUCUUCCCUAUUCCUUUUGAUUAAUGUCUGGUUAAUUGCUAACGAAGCUAACUACCGGUUUCUUUGAUGACUUUUUUUAUGUCUUUGAAAAUGGGCAUAGUCGACAUGUUUUGGAAAAUGAGAGGAAAAGGAGAAGAUUGCUUUUAGGAGGUAAGACAGCUAAUUUUGAACCCAUUCUAAUUUUUCUAGGUAGAAGUAACAAUUCUAUUUGUUGAUAAGUUGCAUAAGAAACUAGGUUUGUUUUGUUACUGAAGUUGUAGUAGUAGUCUAGGUGUUUUAAAAAGUUUUGUUUGAAAAACUUUAUUUUUUUUACUAUUGUUUAAAUUUUUUUAGCAAC
rnacentral:lncRNA from 1 species